rnacentral:rRNA from 1 species
UACGUAGGGUGCGAGCGUUGUCCGGAAUUAUUUGGCGUAAAGAGCUCGUAGGCGGUUUGUUGCGUCGGCCGUGAAAACUCAGGGCUUAACUCUGAGCCUGCGGUCGAUACGGGCAGACUUGAGUUCGGUAGGGGAGACUGGAAUUCCUGGUGUAGCGGUGAAAUGCGCAGAUAUCAGGAAGAACACCGGUGGCGAAGGCGGCUCUCUGGACCGACACUGACGCUGAGGCGCGAAAGCGUGGGGAGCAAACAGG